rnacentral:rRNA from 1 species
GAGUGAAAAAGAACCUGAAACCGUGUACGUACAAGCAGUGGGAGCACAGGUUUACCUGUGUGACUGCGUACCUUUUGUAUAAUGGGUCAGCGACUUAUAUUCUGUAGCAAGGUUAACCGAAUAGGGGAGCCGGAGGGAAACCGAGUCUUAAUUGGGCGUUAAGUUGCAGGGUAUAGACCCGAAACCCGGUGAUCUAGCCAUGGGCAGGUUGAAGGUUGGGUAACACUAACUGGAGGACCGAACCGACUAAUGUUGAAAAAUUAGCGGAUGACCUGUGGCUGGGGGUGAAAGGCCAAUCAAACCGGGAGAUAGCUGGUUCUCCCCGAAAGCUAUUUAGGUAGCGCCUCGUGAAUUCAUCUCCGGGGGUAGAGCACUGUUUCGGCUAGGGGGCCAUCCCGGCUUACCAACCCGAUGCAAACUGCGAAUACCGGAGAAUGUUAUCACGGGAGACACACGGCGGGUGCUAACGUCCGUCGUGAAGAGGGAAACAACCCAGACCGCCAGCUAAGGUCCCAAAGUCAUGGUUAAGUGGGAAACGAUGUGGGAAGGCCCAGACAGCCAGGAUGUUGGCUUAGAAGCAGCCAUCAUUUAAAGAAAGCGUAAUAGCUCACUGGUCGAGUCGGCCUGCGCGGAAGAUGUAACGGGGCUAAACCAUGCACCGAAGCUGCGGCAGCGA